UGUUCACGGGGCAUGUCUGGCACGAUCUUUUCAGGAUGGCGGGCGUGAAGCUCCGCUUGAGCACGACGUUUCAUCCUCAGACGGACGGCCAAUCCGAGGUCGUCAACAAGGUGAUUGCCAUCAUAUUUGCGUUGUGUUACAGGUGAUCGUCCUCGUGCUUGGGUGGACUGGCUUGCGCGGGCGGAGUACUGCUACAACACCUAUUAUCACUCCGCCCUGCGCGCCACGCCGUUUGAGGUGGUCUAUGGCCGACCGCCCCCGCCCAUCCUGCCGGUUGACCCGGAGACGGCUAGGACGGAGGUGACGGGUGAUCUUCUUCGCAACCGCGACGAGAUGCUUGCCGAGGUGCGCCAAUGCCUCGUUCAAGCCCAGCAGUUGGCCAAGCACUAUUAUGACGGCCACCACCGCGAGGCGGAGUUCGCGGUGGGCGACUGGGUGUGGCUGCGUCUCCUUCACCGUUCUACGCAGUCCCUUGACCCACGCGCGAAGCGCAAGCUGGGCCCGCGCUACGCCGGGCCAUUUUCUGUGUUGGAGCGCAUCGGAAAGGUGGCCUACCGCCUUUAGCUUCCGGCCGGUGCUCGCAUCCACGACGUCUUCCGUGUGGGGCUCCUGAAGCCUUUAAGUGGGGAGCCACCGGCGGCCACGCCGGCGCUACCCCCGACCUCCGACGGGGCCUCCUUCCCGGGCCAGCAAAGGUGUUGCGGGCCCAACUACGUCGCGGGGUGUGGUACCUGUUGAUCCAGUGGGAAGGCCUUCCAGAGGAGGACGCGACUUGGGAGCAGCGUGACGAAUUCAGUCAGCACUAUCCAGACUUCCAUCUCGAGGACCAGCUCGAGGACGAGCUGUUUGCGCAGGCGGGGAGAGAUGUUAUGACCGGUAUUACGUACCAAAGGAGGAGGCCCAAUGGGCAGGAUUAGUUACGGGCUGAGCCCAAGUUAUCUUAGUUUCCAAGUUAUCUUAGUCAGCCGUGAGAUUAUAUAAACCGAUGUACACAACUCUUUUGGAAUUAAGCAAUAUAGACAUUAACUCUAUUGCCCGGCUCCCAGAGGAGCCUGAACCCUAGCCGCGCCGCCGCCUCCCUCACGCGCAAUGGCGCCCCGCCACCGGCCGCCGCGCUCCAGCCCUCGCCAACACCGCUUCAUCCCCUACAACCUCCGCCCUAGGCCCGGUAGAACCCUAGCUGUUCCUACCAGGUUAUGAUGUCAAGCAAGUUGGUUCAAUCAUCUUAUUUGUUUAUGUGCCGGUGGCAAUUUUCUCUUUUUGUAGGAAACACGGUGAUCUUGCUUGUGUCGGUGGAAAUUUGACUUAUUUGUAGGCAAAUGCAGUGAUCUUAUUUGCACGCAUCUGCAUUUGCUAAUAUGGGGUUCCUCAACAUGUGAGCUCAUAUUGUUUUUUAUGGUGGUCAUACUUCCUACAACUGUUUCUUGUUCUGCUGCAUCACGAAGUUAUCAGAAGCAAACCUUGCUAGUCAUGUGCUUUCAUGUAUCCCUUUGUACAUUUCCUCCCUUUCCUUCCUUUUGGAACUUUACAAAAGUUUGAAUUUAUACUCUGUUUUGGUCCUACUGCAGCGUCCUUAUGUGGUUUACCCUCCAGAAGGCCCACGACCACCACGGCCCGAAGAACUUCGUGAAAGGGCUCGGGAGAUAGCUCGCAGCAGAAGGCAAGAAUAAACAGGUGGACCAUGAUUGCUCCACAUAGUUUGUACUGAGACCAUCUUCUGCAUGAUACUACGAUCCGCCCAAAAGAUUCAUGAAACAGGGACAGAAAAACUCCAACUGUCAGUCAUGCUGUCGUGAGUGUAUGGUUGUCAAAUAACAUGAUUUCACUUUGAAAGAAACCCACUUGACUCCGGUUAUACUGCUGUAGUGUUUCUGGUUGUUGAUGUAAAGUUAUGAGACGUUUCCGAGUUGUGACGAAGAGUAAUAAACCAAUUUCAUCGCUCACAUGAUCCUGUUGAUUGCUGAUGCCAUUUCUAACAUCAUCAUCAUCAUCUAUCUUACUAGCUGCUGUUUCUAGUUUUGAUCGUUUGUUGUUUUAGUUCUGAGUUUUGUGGUUGUUUGGAUGCUGUUGUAAGCUGAUCAUGUGGACUGUUGGUCGUUUUUUUUAUCUCAAUCUUAAACUGCAUGGUUAAAAAUAUCAUCUCUGUCUCUCAUGCCGUGUUUUUUCUUAUAUCAACAUGAUUUAUCCUGUUUGACCUUGUGUACUGAA
rnacentral:lncRNA from 1 species